AAGAAUUUAAAGGUCGAACAGACCUACACAUUAAGCGGCUACACCUAACUGUUAUCUUAAUCCAACAUCGAGGUCGCAAGCCUUUCUGUAAAUAAGAACUCCAAAGAAAGAUUACG
rnacentral:rRNA from 1 species